rnacentral:misc_RNA from 1 species
UGUUCAUACCGUACGUAUUGGUCCUACGUCCACUCCCACAUCUCUCCUCCCUCUUUCUUCUCGUCCCCGGCCCGGAAUUCAAGCAAUCGCGAUUCGAUUCUGGCAUUCACUUGAAAGUCCUCAUCAAAACACAAACCCAUUUUUCUCUCUCUGCUAAAAAGACAGCGAUUAUGGCUAUAUUACAGGUUUCUGUUAUUGCAAUAAUAACACUCCUUGGAAUUUUAUCCUCUACAUCACAAUCCCUUCGAUUCGAGCUGCAAUCUGGGCACACCAAGUGCAUUUCAGAGGAUAUUAAAAGCAAUUCCAUGACUGUUGGCAAGUAUAGCAUCGUUAACCCCCACGAAGGCCAGCCUUUGCCGGAGUCCCACAAGCUCACCGCCAGGGUGACGUCGAGUUAUGGGAAUAGUUAUCACUAUGCGGACCAUGUGGGAUCGGGGCAGUUCGCGUUUACGGCGGCGGAGGCCGGGGAUUACAUGGUAUGUUUCUGGGCGGCAGAUCACAAGCCCGAAGUUACGUUGACUGUAGAUUUUGAUUGGAAGACUGGUGUGGCUGCUAAGGACUGGACUAAUGUUGCCAAGAAAGGCUCUAUUGAUGUAAGUUUGUGUUACGUGUCUUAAUUUUCCGGUUUUGGUGUGGUUUGGAUUUUGGAUGCUUGGUUGAGUUGAGUAAUGAUGAGGAGGUUGCCUUCUUGGCUAAAUUGGCUUGUUAGUUUGAGGAGGUUGCCUUGAUAGCUUAGGCAGAUUUCACCUUUGUUUCAGAUCUUAUGUCUGUAUUUGGGCUUUUGUCGAAGAAACAUAAGCAUUCUCUAGCGGAUAUUCCUCCUAACUAGUUAAGUAAAUAAGUAACUCUAUAUUUGCCCUGGUAAGAGCUACUGCCUGUAUUGGGCAUCUGAGAAACCUGAAAGAUGUAGCAGCGGAGCAGUCCAUAACUCAACUAGAACAAGGAAUCAGAGGUUGCAAAGAAAUUAGAUGUCUAUAGAAUUACAAUUCUACAGAAGCAGCAGUUGUGAGUGAUUGAUUCGCACACUUCAACUAUAUCCAGAUAUCUGUGUAUCAUAGAAAAAUUAAUAUCAGGCAAUAAAAGAACUUAGAAAAUUGAGCAUUACUAAGUACUAAGUACAAAUGCUGUAUGUAGAAAUGGAAUUGGUAAUGCGGUGAUCUGGUAAGAGAGAGCUUAUUAAGAUGUUUUUCUUGUUUUCUUGCAACAUGUAUGAGCGAUCCUGUGAUAGGCUGACCAUUUAUGUGGUUGAAAGGAUAUCCUAGAAAAACAUGGGCCUUAUUGUUGUUCUACUUCAUUAAGUUUCAAUUUUCAAGCCUCAGAAUUUAGCUAGAAAUGAGGAUAUCAAUUAAAUGACAUGUAAUGUGUAAUGUGGGAAAAAAAAUGAAGAUCUGGACCAGAGAGUGAGAGCCACACCUCCUGCCUUCCGCACAAUGCAUCACAUUGUUUUUACUGAUCAGAUCUAUUUUCCAUCUCAAAUCAUGUUCCCCUUGGAAUACUGUUUCCAUCUGUUAAUGUAUACUUUGGUAGAUUCUAUUUGCUAGGCAUCCAUCGUUCAAGGUUUAAGCAGGGGACCGCUGCUGGAAAACCUAAAGUAUCUACCUAUUAAUUUGCACUCUUUUGAUCAAACCACCUAUGAGGACUAGAUGUAUAGCACUUGGAAACUGCACACUGAUACUAGGAUAACCUGUAAAACUUGUCGUCCAUUGUUUGGUGUAUAUGAUGGAUUAAUGACGAGUUAACAUAAUCUUACAUAAAAUAAUAGACAAUUUGUGAAUUUUCUAGGUUUGAAAUUUUAAGAAUUGGUUUUGCCAUACUAUAGUAAUCAUAGUUAUUAAAGAAUCAAGGCACACUAAGGCGCCAAGGGGUCGUAGAGCCUAUGAGCAAAGCACAAGGCACAGGCACGCGCCUGAGCGAGAUGAGGUGCAAAAGUAAAAAGAAUUUAGAAAUUCCAAAAAAUUCAAAUAAAUGUGAUGUUUUUCCUUUUUCCUUUGACAUAUAUCUUAAAAUAAGUAUAAAUGCAACUUUUUUUUUAAAUGUAAUAAUAGAGUGGCAGUGUUGAAAAUGAA